GAUGAACGCUGGCGGCGUGCUUAACACAUGCAAGUCGAACGAAGCAAUUUCUUACGAUCCCUUCGGGGUGACGAGUUAUUGACUGAGUGGCGGACGGGUGAGUAACGCGUGGGUAACCUGCCUUGUACAGGGGGACAACAGUUGGAAACGACUGCUAAUACCGCAUAAGCGCACGGUGUCGCAUGACACAGUGUGAAAAGUUUUUUCGGUACAAGAUGGACCUCGCGUCUGAUUAGCUAGUUGGUGAGGUAACGGCUCACCAAGGCGACGAUCAGUAGCCGACCUGAGAGGGUGACCGGCCACAUUGGGACUGAGACACGGCCCAAACUCCUACGGGAGGCAGCAGUGGGGAAUAUUGCACAAUGGGCGCAAGCCUGAUGCAGCGACGCCGCGUGAGCGAAGAAGUAUUUCGGUAUGUAAAGCUCUAUCAGCAGGAAGAUAUGACGGUACCUGACUAGAGCACCGGCUAAAUACGUGCCAGCAGCCGCGGUAUACGUAUGGUGCAGCGUAUCCGGAUUACUGGGUGUAAGGGAGCGUAGCGUUUACAGUCUGAUGUGAAGCCCGGGCUCACUCCGAUGCUUGGAACUGUGACAUAAAGGCGCAGGGGGAGUGGGAUACUACUGUGCGGGAGCGCCAUUAAGAAACAUGGAGGGCUGGGAAUACCACUCACUGGGAGAAACGGCGCCAAAAAUGUGAUG
rnacentral:rRNA from 1 species